rfam:Brassica rapa chromosome A7, whole genome shotgun sequence.
AUCUUUGCGUGGCAAAGACGCAGUUAACGAAGUACUAACUGUUGCGCGUCUAUUUCUGGUUGAAAACUAUUUCCAAACCCCCUCAUGGGCCUGGGCUUGACCCAUAAAAACAUAGUUUUACAAUAUAUAAAUGGUUUCAAAUUAUAAAAUAGUAACAAUAUU